CUACAAUCUAAACCUCAAGAAGGUUAUAGUAACCCAUCUAUGACGAGUUAUAAUGGCACUUGAAUGGAGUUUAAACAAUGCGUGGUCAUAACAAGAAAAUUAUUGUAUUAUCCCCAAAAGCCAUAGGGAUAUAUUUACUAAAUAGUAACAUGAGAGUAUUCCACAAAUAAAAUCACCCUGGUGAACUUGGAGAUUGUUAUUGCUGAGUUAAAGAGGUUUUCACUUGUCCUGGGAAAUGUGGAACUUUGAAAAUGGAAUUUGAAGGUCUAGGUCCAAACUAGUUGAGGUAUAUAUACAUAGUAGACUUGGAGAAUAUUACCAGUUUAGCUAUUUGGACUAAAUUAGCUUGUCAGUUCCCG